rnacentral:rRNA from 1 species
UACGGAUAGGGCUAGCGUUGUUCGGAAUUACUGGGCGUAAAGCGCACGUAGGCGGACUGUUAAGUCGGGGGUGAAAUCCUGGGGCUCAACCUCAGAAUUGCCUCCGAUACUGGCAGUCUCGAGUGCGGGAGAGGUGAGUGGAAUUCCCAGUGUAGAGGUGAAAUUCGUAGAUAUUGGGAAGAACACCAGUGGCGAAGGCGGCUCACUGGCCCGUAACUGACGCUGAGGUGCGAAAGCGUGGGGAGCAAACAGG